UUUGACUUUAUUAUCCCUUAAAACAUAUAUAUAUGACAAUAUGCUUCAAGUCAUGUCAAUUCACUACCUAGUGAGCUUAUGCUUGAUACAGGUGCUGCUAAAAAAAAAGUGGAACGGUAUAUUGUAGAAAGCUUACCCUGUUACCUCCUGGGGAAAAACUGAAUGUGGAGUUUGACAAUGAUGGUGUGGCUAUUGGUGAUAAUCCUUCAUUAUUUUCUUUCUUCUUGGGUCAACAAGUUCGAAAUAAAGCUGUAUGUUCUGUACAAGUUAAAUGUUGGGACGAUUAUAAAUCUAAAACAUUAGACCAUUUGUGGGCUUGCAUCACGGAGAAGUGGUCAUUUGAUGACCCUGAAAAUAGGCGGGAGUGUGUUAUGAAACAUGCACAACGUUUAUUUAGAGGUGCUAGGAGCAAAUUGAAAUCAAAGUACUUUAAUGAUAAAAACUUGAAAACAAAAUAAGAACGUCUCAAAAAUAAGCCUAGUCAUCUGACUAAAGUGGAAUGGAAGUUCUUGGUUGACUAUUGUCAAGAGGCGGUUAUGGAGAAGAGCAAAAAAGCAAGUGAAAGUAGGGCACAUCAAAAGAUUCCUCACUAUAAUGGCACUAAAAGCUUCGGUCGCACUAGACAAGAAAUAAGGAAGAAGAAUGGCGGGAAGUGUUCUCGAGUUGACGUAUUGGUUGCAACUCGUACAAGAAAAUCUGAGAAGGCUGUGAAUGCAUUAAAUUUGGCAAUAACACCCAUGCAAUAGAUGAGAUAAACAAAUUGAAGGAACAAAGAGAGCAAGGUCUUAAUGAGAAAACAGAUGAGAAAAUUAUUCAGGAUGUGCUUGGCAAAGAUACACAUGGGUAUUUGAAAGCUUAUGGACCUGGUAGAAGUAUUACGCAACAUUUUAAAGUAAAUCCCUCUCAAAUUGAUCUUACUCAAGAGGUGAAUGAAGUUAAAAAGAAAGCAGAUCAAGCAAUUGAAGAUGCAAGAAAAGAAGCUGAAAAUUCUAGAACAGAAGCAGAACAAGCUAAAUUAGAAGUUGAACAUGCCAAAAAAGAGGCGGAAGCUAUUAAGAAUGACGUGGACAGAAAAAUUGCUGAGAACAAUGCAGUUUGGGAGAAAAAGUUUAGUCAACUUCUGGAUUUUCUUGGAGCAGGAAGUUCAUCAGAUACUGAUGAUUUAGGAAGUGAAGGUUCAAAGGAAUGAAGAGAACUGAGGGAACAGGCAGCCUUGGGUCUUGGAGAGUUGAUUGAUGUAACUAGUGAGCCAGCACUGAAGGCAUUUGUUAUACCAAUAACAGGGUGACAAGGAGCGGAGCACAGACAUAUUGUCACAUUGUACAUAUAGAGUAUUUAUUGUUCUUUAGCAAAACGAUUUGAGUGUUUUUUUUUAGUAAGAGUGAGCUAGUGAUGAGACAAUGAGACAAUUGAUUUCUAGUAUGUUUGUAUGUAUGGGUAUCGAAUUCAAGUGUGUUUGAAUGUAUGGGAUUCCAAGACAUUAAUAUUACUUUUUUUUAAUGUUAUAUAAUAUAUAUAUAUAUAUCUAUUUCAAGAAUGAAAAAUAUGACAUAUUUGAGAAAAACUCCAUCUCUAAUAUUCGGUUAUGCGUAUACCAUAAAUGCUGCAAUAAAUUAAAGCUUAUGCCUAU